GACGAACGCUGGCGGCGUGCUUAACACAUGCAAGUCGAACGGGAGUAUUGAAGAAGCUUGCUUUAGAGAUACUUUAGUGGCGGACGGGUGAGUAACGCGUGAGGAGCUGUCCUAUGCAGGGGGACAACAGCUGGAAACGGCUGCUAAUACCCCAUAAGCCGAGAGGUAAAAGGAUCAAUCCGGCAGAGGAGGUACUCGCGUCCUAUCAGCUAGUAGGUGAGGUAACGGCUCACCUAGGCGAAGACGGGUAGCCGGCCUGAGAGGGCGAACGGCCACACUGGAACUGAGAUACGGUCCAGACUCCUACGGGAGGCAGCAGUGGGGAAUAUUGGGCAAUGGGGGAAACCCUGACCCAGCGACGCCGCGUGGGUGAAGAAAUCCUUCGGGAUGUAAAGCCCUGUUGUAUGGGAAGAGCGGAAGACGGUACCAUACGAGAAAGCCCCGGCAAACUACGUG
rnacentral:rRNA from 1 species